UAAGUUAUUUCACUGGUUCAAUAAUGGGGUUAGAUCAUUAUGGGGGCGGUGCUCAGGGAAAAGUCCACGAACAAGGUGGGUGAUAUGGUUAGGCUUUGUGUCCCCACUCAAAUCUCAUCUUGAAUUGUAAUCCCCAGGUGUUGAGGGAGGGACCUGGUAGGAGGUGAUUGGAUCAUGGGGGCAGUUCCCCCAUGCCUAGUGGUAGUGACUGAGUGCUCAUGAGAUCUGAUGGUUUUAUAAGUGUUCAGAAGUUCCUCCUUUUUCACUCAUCUCUCUCCUGCUGCCUUGUGAAGAAGGUGCUUGCUUCCCCUUCCACUAUGAUUGUAAGUUGCCUGAGACCUCCUCAGCCAUGAGGAACUGUAAGUCAAUUAAACCUCUUUCCUUUAUAAAUGA
rnacentral:lncRNA from 1 species